UACUUUCCUCAGAGCAGUCUGAGCACACAGCUCUAAGGCAGAAGCACGCCGCCCCCGAUGGAGCCUACAGGACAGCUCGUUGAUGGCGAUGGCGUAACACCACACUAGGAUCCCACACUGGCUUCGAACUCACUAAUCAGACCAGUCUGGCUGGUCAGCAAGCCCCCAGGACCUACCUCUCUCCAGCUCUCCGGUGCCGGGAUUACACAUGUAUCCUACUUGCAAGUGGUCUGGAGAGAUGGCUCAGUAGUCAAGAGAGCUGUUUGCUCUUCCAGAGGUCCUGAGUUCAAUUCCCAGCAACCACAUGGUGGCUCACAACCAUCUGUAAUGGGAUCCGAUGCCCUCUUCUGGUGUGUCUGAAGACAGCGACAGUGUACUCGUAUAAACAAAUGAAUAACUAAAUCUUUAAGAGCUCCUGCUGUGCUCAGAAGACCUGAGUCUGACGCACAGCACCAAUAUCUGCUGCUUCAUGAUCGCCUGCAUCUCAAGUCCAGAGGACACAACACCCUCUUCAGAAUUCCCCUGGCACCAUUGUUUUACACACACACACACACACACACACACACACACACACACACACACACACUUUUUCUAUUUUUGCCUAGCUGCAUUUGUGAAUUUCCAAUACACAACCAAACCCACGAAGCUACAAAAGUAGACUGCCAUUAUUGCAAAACACAAACAGAAGCUUAUUGGCUAUUUUGGUUGUUGUUUAUUUUUGAGAUUGUAAUUUACUUACAACAUUCCCCCCAGACCGUUCCCUUCCUCCAAACCUUCACAUAUACCCCUCCCUGCUCUCUUUCAAAUUCAUGGCCUCUCCCUUCCCUGCUAAGACUAAUGUAUACAUAUACAUCCCUAAAUAAAACCCGUUACA